GCCCUGGAAACGGGGUCUAAUACCGGAUAACACCCGCCGAGGCAUCUCGGUGGGUUGAAAGCUCCGGCGGUGCAGGAUGAGCCCGCGGCCUAUCAGCUUGUUGGUGGGGUGAUGGCCUACCAAGGCGACGACGGGUAGCCGGCCUGAGAGGGCGACCGGCCACACUGGGACUGAGACACGGCCCAGACUCCUACGGGAGGCAGCAGUGGGGAAUAUUGCACAAUGGGCGAAAGCCUGAUGCAGCGACGCCGCGUGAGGGAUGACGGCCUUCGGGUUGUAAACCUCUUUCAGCAGGGAAGAAGCGAAAGUGACGGUACCUGCAGAAGAAGCGCCGGCUAACUACGUGCCAGCAGCCGCGGUAAUACGUAGGGCGCAAGCGUUGUCCGGAAUUAUUGGGCGUAAAGAGCUCGUAGGCGGCUUGUCGCGUCGGAUGUGAAAGCUCGGGGCUUAACCCCGGGUCUGCAUUCGAUACGGGCAGGCUAGAGUGUGGUAGGGGAGAUCGGAAUUCCUGGUGUAGCGGUGAAAUGCGCAGAUAUCAGGAGGAACACCGGUGGCGAAGGCGGAUCUCUGGGCCAUUACUGACGCUGAGGAGCGAAAGCGUGGGGAGCGAACAGGAUUAGAUACCCUGGUAGUCCACGCCGUAAACGUUGGGAACU
rnacentral:rRNA from 1 species